rnacentral:rRNA from 1 species
ACUCAAAUGAAUUGACGGGGGCCCGCACAAGCGGUGGAGCAUGUGGCUCAAUUCGACGCUACGCGAAGAACCUUACCAGGUCUUGACAUCCCCUGACAGCCCCGGAAACGGGGUCUUCCGCAAGGACAGGGUGACAGGUGGUGCAUGGCUGUCGUCAGCUCGUGUCGUGAGAUGUUGGGUUAAGUCCCGCAACGAGCGCAACCCUCAUCGUUACUUACCAGCGGGUCAAGCCGGGGACUGUAGCGAAACUGCCCGUGUAAACGGGAGGAAGGUGGGGAUGAUGUCAAGUCCGCAUGCCCCUUACGACCUGGGCUGCACACAUGCUACAAUGGCCGGCACAAAGGGCCGCGAUACUGCGAGGUGGAGCGAAUCCCAAAAAACCGGUCUCAGUUCGGAUUGAAGGCUGCAACUCGCCUUCAUGAAGUUGGAAUCGCUAGUAACCGCCGGUCAGCAACACGGCGGUGAAUACGUUCCCGGGCCUUGUACACACCGCCCGU